CAUGCGUCUCUUGAUACAGACCUCAGUGACAAAAGGCUGGAGGUGGUUGGUCUGGAGGGAGCCAUGGAAAUGGGCCAGAUCUAUACAGGACUGAAAAGUGCAAGGAAAAGAUUAGCGAAAUGUUCAGAGAUUACUAUAAGAACUACAAAGCCACUUCCAAUGCAGAUUGAUGGAGAGCCUUGGAUGCAGCCGCCAUGUACGAUUACAAUCACUCACAAGAAUCAAGCUCCAAUGCUGCUGGGUCCUCCACCGCGCUCAUCAAGCUUCUUUUCCCUUAAAUAAGCAGGAUCAUUUAUGGAAACCCCAGAAAGUAAAUGAAACACCAAUAAGUCCAUGGAUCACCUGUAAUAUCUUAUCACCACAGCUUGACGCUACAGUCACCAAGCUG